AGAGUUUGAUCCUGGCUCAGAAUGAACGUUGGCGGCGUGGAUUACGCAUGCAAGUCGUACGGGCCGCAAGGCCAGUGGCGCAAGGGUGAGUAAGGCGACGGCAACCAACCCCAUGGCUGGGUAUAGCCGCGGGAAACCGCGGGUAAUCCCCAGCGACGCACGGGACCGGCAUCGGUCCCCUGCCAAAGCUCCGGCGCCGUGGGACGGGCCGUCGUGGUAUUAGGUAGUUGGCGGGGUAACGGCCCACCAAGCCGACGAUGCCUACCGGGCGUGCGAGCGUGGCCCGGCACACUGGGACUGAGACACUGCCCAGACUCCUACGGGAGGCUGCAGUCGAGAAUCUUCGGCAAUGGGCGCAAGCCUGACCGAGCGACGCCGCGUGGAGGACGAAGGCCCUCGGGUUGUAAACUCCUGUCGAGGGGGAAGAAGGCCCCGCAGGGGCUUGACUGAUCCCUGGAGGAAGCCCGGGCUAAGUUCGUGCCUGCAGCCGCGGUAAGACGAACCGUGCGAACGUUAUUCGGAAUCACUGGGCUUAAAGCGCGUGUAUGCGGGAGGGCAC
rnacentral:rRNA from 1 species